UGGGGGAUAUUGCACAAUGGGGGGAACCCGUGAUGCAGCGACGCCGCGUGGGUGAAGAAGCGCUUCGGCGCGUAAAGCCCUGUCAGCAGGGAAGAAAAUGACGGUACCUGAAGAAGAAGCCCCGGCUAACUACGUGCC
rnacentral:rRNA from 1 species